CCUACGGGGUGCAGCAGUGGGGAAUAUUGGGCAAUGGGCGCAAGCCUGACCCAGCAACGCCGCGUGAAGGAAGAAGGCUUUCGGGUUGUAAACUUCUUUCAAGGGGGAAGAGCAGAAGACGGUACCCCUUCAAUAAGCCACGGCUAACUCCGUGCCAGCAGCCGCGGUAAUACGUAGGUGGCAAGCGUUGUCCGGAUUUACUGGGUGUAAAGGGCGUGCAGCCGGAGAGACAAGUCAGAUGUGAAAUCCACGGGCUCAACCCGUGAACUGCAUUUGAAACUGUUUCCCUUGAGUGUCGGAGAGGUAAUCAGAAUUCCUUGUGUAGCGGUGAAAUGCGUAGAUAUAAGGAAGAACACCAGUGGCGAAGGCGGAUUACUGGACGAUAACUGACGGUGAGGCGCGAAAGCGUGGGGAGCAAACAGGAUUAGAUACCCUAGUAGUC
rnacentral:rRNA from 1 species